rnacentral:rRNA from 1 species
AUUGAACGCUGGCGGUAGGCCUAACACAUGCAAGUCGAACGGCAGCACAGUAAGAGCUUGCUCUUACGGGUGGCGAGUGGCGGACGGGUGAGGAAUACAUCGGAAUCUACUUUUUCGUGGGGGAUAACGUAGGGAAACUUACGCUAAUACCGCAUACGACCUACGGGUGAAAGCAGGGGAUCUUCGGACCUUGCGCGAUUGAAUGAGCCGAUGUCGGAUUAGCUAGUUGGCGGGGUAAAGGCCCACCAAUGCGACGAUCCGUAGCUGGUCUGAGAGGAUGAUCAGCCACACUGGAACUGAGACACGGUCCAGACUCCUACGGGAGGCAGCAGUGGGGAAUAUUGGACAAUGGGCGCAAGCCUGAUCCAGCCAUACCGCGUGGGUGAAGAAGGCCUUCGGGUUGUAAAGCCCUUUUGUUGGGAAAGAAAAGCAGCAGGUUAAUACCCCGCUGUUCUGACGGUACCCAAAGAAUAAGCACCGGCUAACUUCGUG